rnacentral:lncRNA from 1 species
AAAAUUAACAGCUGUAAAAACAAACAGCAACUAAUCAUAUUAAAAUGUCCAAGGGCAAUGCCACUAUUACAUGUAUUUCAUCUAAUUAGCAAAAUAUUGCUAAAAUUUAGACAUUAUGUACAUUGUUUGUAAUAAAAAGUAUUUUCAAUAUUGUGACAAGCACACUUUUUAAUAUUUUUUAAGUAAAAACAUUUUUUUUUCUUUAUUGAAUUAUGUUUAAGUUAAAUGACUUCACUUGAGAUGUCAAACUACCCCUUGAUGUUUUGACAAGUUAAUAGGAACAAAUUCCCUUUCAUAUCAAUAUGAUGAUCUUCUGAUUAAGCAAUACCUGCCAUAUAUGUUCCUGUCGAAAGCCUUUUUAAAAUCGCUGUCAAAGUGUUCAGACCAGAGAGAUUCAGACUAAAUGACAAAACAUUAAAAUAACUAAUGAUUAUCAAAUGCAACGCUCAAACUACA